UGGGGAAUUUUGCACAAUGGGGGAAACCCUGAUGCAGCGACGCCGCGUGAUUUAGAAGGCCUUCGGGUUGUAAAAAUCUUUUCUAUGGGAAGAAAAUGACAGUGCCAUAGGAAUAAGGACCGGCUAAUUACGUGCCAGCAGCCGCGGUAAUACGUAAGGUCCGAGCGUUGUCCGGAAUCAUUGGGCGUAAAGGGUACGUAGGCGGGUAAGCAAGUUAGAAGUGAAAUCCUAUAGCUCAACUAUAGUAAGCUUUUAAAACUGCUCAUCUUGAGGUAUGGAAGGGAAAGUGGAAUUCCUAGUGUAGCGGUGAAAUGCGCAGAUAUUAGGAGGAAUACCGGUGGCGAAGGCGACUUUCUGGCCAUAACCUGACGCUGAGGUACGAAAGCGUGGGUAGCAAACAGG
rnacentral:rRNA from 1 species